rnacentral:rRNA from 1 species
UACGUAGGGUCCGAGCGUUGUCCGGAAUUAUUGGGCGUAAAGAGCUCGUAGGCGGUCUGUCGCGUCGGCUGUGAAAACACGGGGCUCAACUCCGUGCCUGCAGUCGAUACGGGCAGACUAGAGUUCGGUAGGGGAGACUGGAAUUCCUGGUGUAGCGGUGAAAUGCGCAGAUAUCAGGAGGAACACCGGUGGCGAAAGCGGAUCUCUGGGCCUUACCUGACGCUGAGGCGCGAAAGCUAGGGGAGCGAACAGG